UGAAACAGUAUAAUUUAUUUUCAGUUCACAGUGCAUACAUUGUGUGCAGUUGUACCAAGUUACUCAUCAAUAGCACAUUAGAUUGACCUCAGUUGUUUAAGACAGUUGUUUCCUCUGUAAUGAGAACAUGCAAGUGUGCACAGUAUCAGAAAAUCAGUAAAUGUCAUACCAAAGAGUUAAUCAUCAUUACAAUACUCAAACAAGAGACUGAGAAAAAGAUGCUCACUGUAACAUUCAGCGUACUGAUCCUGACACAGAGAAAGUCUGUUUUCAGGGGAAGUGAUGUUUCUGUCUUUGUAAAGCAGAACCUGUGUUUUUAUUUCAUACCUCAGUAAAAGCUGCUACAUAAUCUGCCGCCUCCCUCUCACUACGAAUUUGCAAUUUCAGGACAGUUAUAUUAACUAUAUAUUUACUGAUAACUUUACACUCUAUUGUAAGCAGAGUAUCGGUAUCCUUAGCUUUCAUGAGCCUGCAGACAUUGAAAUGCAAAUCCCCUUACAAUUAUUUCUUCUUUGUUGUAUAUCAUUAGUGUGAAAGGAAACCAGAGUUACUAAAGCUUUUCAAAUCGUCCUCAACAGCAGCUGGCUGUUCAAGUAUUUCUCCCCACAAUCUUCUACGAUUAGAUUUACAGUAGCUAGAAACAAAACUGAACAAAAAAGAAAUGUUUUUCUUUUCCUACAUAAAAUGUAUUGCAGAUACAUUUAACUCCACAAUACUCAAAGCAAGGCAGAGCGAGUGUACCGAUGUUAAUGUAAACCAUUCUCAAUUUGAUGGAAGAGCCAAAUACUGAAAUUAUGUUAAUACCAAAACAAAACCAACUAAAUCAUAGCACAAACAGGUACAUACAUGCAGAUACAACAGUUGUACCAUGUAGAGCAAGCGUUAGUCUCUGGGUAUUUUGAUUAGAAGUUGUCAAAUGCUUCUGAACAUAAAUGGCUACAUGGGGACAUUUGUUAAUAUUCUCUUUUGUUCUUUUCAAAAAUAAAAUCUAACACAUUCAAAUAUUAGGUGUCUUUUUUUU
ensembl:lncRNA